UACGGAGGGCCCAAGCGUUAAUCGGAAUUACUGGGCUUAAAGGGUGCGUAGGCGGGCCUGCAAGUACCUUGUGAAAUCCCACGGCUCAACCGUGGAAUCGCUUGGUAAACUGCCGGUCUUGAGCCCGACAGAGGCCAUCGGAACUCUAGGUGGAGCGGUGAAAUGCGUAGAUAUCUAGAGGAACGCCCAAGGCGAAAGCAGGUGGCUGGGUCGGCGCUGACGCUGAGGCACGAAAGCGUGGGGAGCGAACCGG
rnacentral:rRNA from 1 species